UACGGAGGGGGCUAGCGUUGUUCGGAAUUACUGGGCGUAAAGCGCACGUAGGCGGCUUUGUAAGUUAGAGGUGAAAGCCCAGGGCUUAACCCUGGAAUUGCCUUUAAGACUGCAUCGCUAGAAUCGUGGAGAGGUGAGUGGAAUUCCGGGUGUAGCGGUGAAAUGCGUAGAGAUCCGGAGGAACACCAGUGGCGCAGGCGGCUCUCUGGGUCGGCCCUGACGCUGAGGCGCGAAAGCGUGGGGAGCGAACGGG
rnacentral:rRNA from 1 species